AUUACAUAGAAUGUAGAAGCCAUUAUGGCUUGCACUUUGUAGUGCAUGUACAGUAUGUAGGAAUCAGGAAGCCAUUUGGGGUACUCUCCAGUCUAUUGAUCAAUGUUACCACAGAAACAGCCAUAAAAAGCUUGCCAUUGUGGAGCCUGUUAUGGAGAAACAUGUGUGUGCAGAAGACAGAGAGACCUUUAAAACACGCAUUGAUUUAUGCCAUUUUUAUAACAUUUUAGCAGUGACUUCACAUCUGUGUUUCAACUCGUUCAUACGCUUCGAGUUUCUCCCCAUUCAAGAAGAUAUGAACCUGGUCUUGUAUUAUUGGAAAUAUCUUCUAAAAAUGUUGGUAACACUGACACUGGAGCUUUAUAAAUAAUGGCUUUAUAAAUAAACCCAACUAGCUAGGUAACGUUAUAUGACCACUGCACCCUGAGGAUCCCUCCAACAUUACAUCACACCAUGACAGCCCCAUCAUCCAUCCAUCCACUUACUGUACUGCUUAUCCUAGAUAGGGUCGCGGGGGAGCCUGGAGCCUAUCCCAGUGAGCUUGGAGCACCCUCUUGGGGGACACCCUGGAUGGGAGGCCAACCCAUUGCAGGGCACAAUCACACACACUUUGACACACGUGAUAGAUGAUGUGUAACCUACAGCACGUGUCGCCGAACUGGCGGAGGAAACCGGAAUAUGCAAGCUCCGCGCACACUGGGCGGUUGAGAGUUUCGAACCCCCAACCCCAGAGGUGUGAGGCAAUCGUGCUAUAAAGUGAAUACGUUAUACAGUAGCUUUCCUCAUUUCAGCACAAGCACACCACCUGUCUGAAGUGCAGUAGUAAACACAGCAUUGUUAACACCCAAUCGAGCAUCAUUAGCAGGUGUAUAUUCCACACGUUCUUCUCCGUUAGCACCAAAAGCCAGAGAUAGCGCUCUCAACAGGAGAAUUAACAGGAAGCAGAAGCGAAGCCAGCUAAUGAGCUGUUCAUUAAGUUGGAUUACUUUUCCAGAUGCCAUCUUCUCACUGCAGGAGUGUUCGUUCAUUCGACAGUCCAUGCACACACACUCCUGGUGCAUACCGCUGUGCUCUAAUGAAUGAACGUGCCAGAGGUGGGCUCUGGCUAGGGUGUUGGAAAACAGCACUGGGUGAAUGUUUACAUGUGUUCCGGGUCAACUUCACUUUCACUGCUGCGCACGGAGUGACCCGCUCUGCCCUCAGGUCUAACAUCGUUGUUCAUUACCAUGCGAAGAGCAUAUAGAGGCCACGGUACUCAUGUUAGAGAAGUUACUGCUCCAGAAUACCUGGAUGAAACCCCAGAAGCAGGGUGAGAGCGUGCAAACUCUCCGAGGCAGACGUGCUAACCAGUAAACCACCGUGCCCCCUCCUACUGAAUCCAGUCUUCAUUUUUAUGGUUCAUUUAGAUUUCAUUCGAGUCUUUUUAACCGCAUAAACCCCACCAAAACGCUGGUACAACUGGUAGAUGGGAACAGUUAC
ensembl:lncRNA